rnacentral:rRNA from 1 species
UACGUAGGGUGCAAGCGUUAAUCGGAAUUACUGGGCGUAAAGCGUGCGCAGGCGGUUGUGCAAGACAGAUGUGAAAUCCCCGGGCUCAACCUGGGAAUUGCAUUUGUGACUGCACGGCUAGAGUGUGUCAGAGGGGGGUAGAAUUCCACGUGUAGCAGUGAAAUGCGUAGAGAUGUGGAGGAAUACCGAUGGCGAAGGCAGCCCCCUGGGAUAACACUGACGCUGAGGAGCGAAAGCGUGGGGAGCGAACAGG